AUUGAACGCUGGCGGCAUGCCUUACACAUGCAAGUCGAACGGUAACAGGUCUUCGGAUGCUGACGAGUGGCGAACGGGUGAGUAAUACAUCGGAACGUGCCUAGUAGUGGGGGAUAACUACGCGAAAGAGUGGCUAAUACCGCAUGAGAUCUACGGAUGAAAGCAGGGGAUCGCAAGCCCUUGUGCUACUAGAGCGGCCGAUGGCAGAUUAGGUAGUGGGUGGGAUAAAAGCUUACCAAGCCGACGAUCUGUAGCUGGUCUGAGAGGACGAUCAGCCACUCUGGGACUGAGACACGGCCCAGACUCCUACGGGAGGCAGCAGUGGGGAAUUUUGGACAAUGGGCGAAAGCCUGAUCCAGCAAUGCCGCGUGCAGGAUGAAGGCCUUCGGGUUGUAAACUGCUUUUGUACGGAACGAAAAGCCCCGGGUUAAUACCCUGGGGUCAUGACGGUACCGUAAGAAUAAGCACCGGCUAACUACGUGCCAGCCGCCGCCGUAA
rnacentral:rRNA from 1 species